GGGAUACUGGAGUGAUGGAGGUAGAUAUGUAUAGGGGUAAGGUGACAGGGAUACUAGAGUGGUGGAGGUAGAUAUGUAUAGGGGUAAGGUGACAGGGAUACUGGAGUGAUGGAGGUAGAUAUGUAUAGGGGUAAGGUGACAGGGAUACUGGAGUGAUGGAGGUAGAUAUGUAUAGGGGUAAGGUGACAGGGAUACUGGAGUGAUGGAGGUAGAUAUGUAUAGAGGUAAGGUGACAGGGAUACUGGAGUGAUAGAGGUAGAUAUGUAUAGGGGUAAGGUGACAGGGAUACUGGAGUGAUAGAGGUAGAUAUGUAUAGGGGUAAGGUGACAGGGAUACUGGAGUGAUAGAGGUAGAUAUGUAUAGAGGUAAGGUGACAGGGAUACUGGAGUGAUAGAGGUAGAUAUGUAUAGGGGUAAGGUGACAGGGAUACUGGAGUGAUAGAGGUAGAUAUGUAUAGGGGUAAGGUGACAGGGAUACUGGAGUGAUAGAGGUAGAUAUGUAUAGGGGUAAGGUGACAGGGAUACUGGAGUGAUAGAGGUAGAUAUGUAUAGAGGUAAGGUGACAGGGAUACUGGAGUGAUAGAGGUAGAUAUGUAUAGGGGUAAGGUGACAGGGAUACUGGAGUGAUAGAGGUAGAUAUGUAUAGAGGUAAGGUGACAGGGAUACUGGAGUGAUAGAGGUAGAUAUGUAUAGGGGUAAGGUGACAGGGAUACUGGAGUGAUAGAGGUAGAUAUGUAUAGGGGUAAGGUGACAGGGAUACUGGAGUGAUAGAGGUAGAUAUGUAUAGGGGUAAGGUGACAGGGAUACUGGAGUGAUAG